AAGUAAUAUGGAAAAUAAAAGCUGCACAUCUUGUAAGUUAAUAUCAAUCUCUUGCUUGACUGGUAUAGGAAUAUAUUUGAUAAAAACUGCUAAAAAUCAAAAUCGAAAUUCUAGAAUGGUUUUGACAACAUUAGGAUUAGGAUCAUGUUGUUUAGGAAUUGGGGAAAUCUUUGAUAAAUCACCAUUUAGGACAUAAUUUACAAAAUCUAUAUACUAAUAGAUUAAUAAAAGAAUUCUUUUUUAUA